rnacentral:tRNA from 1 species
GGGGGCAUAGCUCAGUGGGAGAGCGCCUGCCUUGCAAGCAGGAGGUCAGCGGUUCGAAUCCGCUUGCCUCCA